rnacentral:rRNA from 1 species
GUCCUGCGGGGGGCAGCAGUGAGGAAUAUUGGUCAAUGGUCGGGAGACUGAACCAGCCAAGCCGCGUGAGGGAGGAAGGUACAGAGUAUCGUAAACCUCUUUUGUCAGGGAACAAAGACUGGGACGCGUCCCCGGAUGAGUGUACCUGAAGAAAAAGCAUCGGCUAACUCCGUGCCAGCAGCCGCGGUAAUACGGAGGAUGCGAGCGUUAUCCGGAUUUACUGGGUGUAAAGGGAGCGUAGACGGCAGGGCAAGCCUGGAGUGAAAGGCAGGGGCCCAACCCCUGGACUGCUCUGGAAACUGUCC